UGAUUGGUGCUUGCAUCAUGAUUUACAUUUGAGUGAGUGGCGAACUGGUGAGUAACACGUGGGAAACCUGCCCAGAAGCGGGGGAUAACACCUGGAAACAGAUGCUAAUACCGCAUAACAACUUGGACCGCAUGGUCCGAGCUUGAAAGAUGGCUUCGGCUAUCACUUUUGGAUGGUCCCGCGGCGUAUUAGCUAGAUGGUGGGGUAACGGCUCACCAUGGCAAUGAUACGUAGCCGACCUGAGAGGGUAAUCGGCCACAUUGGGACUGAGACACGGCCCAAACUCCUACGGGAGGCAGCAGUAGGGAAUCUUCCACAAUGGACGAAAGUCUGAUGGAGCAACGCCGCGUGAGUGAAGAAGGGUUUCGGCUCGUAAAACUCUGUUGUUAAAGAAGAACAUAUCUGAGAGUAACUGUUCAGGUAUUGACGGUAUUUAACCAGAAAGCCACGGCUAACUACGUGCCAGCAGCCGCGGUAAUACGUAGGUGGCAAGCGUUGUCCGGAUUUAUUGGGCGUAAAGCGAGCGCAGGCGGUUUUUUAAGUCUGAUGUGAAAGCCUUCGGCUCAACCGAAGAAGUGCAUCGGAAACUGGGAAACUUGAGUGCAGAAGAGGACAGUGGAACUCCAUGUGUAGCGGUGAAAUGCGUAGAUAUAUGGAAGAACACCAGUGGCGAAGGCGGCUGUCUGGUCUGUAACUGACGCUGAGGCUCGAAAGUAUGGGUAGCAAACAGGAUUAGAUACCCUGGUAGUCCAUACCGUAAACGAUGAAUGCUAAGUGUUGGAGGGUUUCCGCCCUUCAGUGCUGCAGCUAACGCAUUAAGCAUUCCGCCUGGGGAGUACGGCCGCAAGGCUGAAACUCAAAGGAAUUUGACGGGGGCCCGCACAAGCGGUGGAGCAUGUGGUUUAAUUCGAAGCUACGCGAAGAACCUUACAAGG
rnacentral:rRNA from 1 species